CCUACGGGAGGCAGCAGUGGGGAAUAUUGCACAAUGGGUGAAACCCUGAUGCAGCAACGCAGCGUGAAGGAAGACGGUUUUCGGAUUGUAAACUUCUGUUCUUAGUGAAGAAUACUGACGGUAGCUAGUGAGCAAGCCCCGGCUAACUACGAGCCAGCAUCCGCGGUAAUACGUAGGUGGCAAGCGUUGUCCGGCAUUGCUGGGUGUAAAGGGAGCGCAGGCGGGAAGCCAAGUCAGCUGUGAAAACUACGGGCUUAACUUGUAGACUGCAGUUGAAACUGGUUUUCUUGAGUGAAGUAGAGGUUGGCGGAAUUCCGAGUGUAGCGGUGAAAUGCGUAGAGAUUCGGAGGAACACCGGUGGCGAAGGCGGCCAACUGGGCUUUAACUGACGCUGUGGCUCGAAAGUGUGGGGAGCAAACAGGAUUAGAUACCCUUGUAGUC
rnacentral:rRNA from 1 species